AAACUUAAAGGAAUUGACGGGAGCCCGCACGAGCAGCGGAGCGUGUGGUUUAAUUCGAUGCGACACGAAGAAACCUUACCUGGGUUUGACAUGUAUGUAGUAGGGAAGCGAAAGCGGACGACCCGCAAGGGAGCAUACACAGGUGCCGCAUGGCUGUCGUCAGCUCGUGCCGUGAGGUGUUGGGUUAAGUCCUCUAACGAGCGCAACCCUCGUUGCUAGUUAAAGAUUUCUAGCGAGACUGCCGGGAUAUAACCGGAGGAAGGUGGGGAUGACGUCAAGUCAGCAUGGCCUUUAUAUCCAGGGCUACACACACGCUACAAUGGUCGGUACAGAGGGAAGCCAAGCCGCGAGGCGGAGCUAAUCUCACAAAGCCGAUCUCAGUUUAGAUUGCAGGCUGCAACCCGCCUGCAUGAAGUUGGAGUUGCUAGUAACCGCAGGUCAGCCAUACUGCGGUGAAUACGUUCCCGGGCUUU
rnacentral:rRNA from 1 species